UUGGCCCCUGCCUCUGUUGUUAUAUGGGUUCCUAAGUUGGUCAUUUGCACAGCUGCAGAUAGAGUGUAAGAGUUGGGUUACACUGGCCGAGCAAUAUGUAAUCGACUGAUAUCAACUUGAUUUUUAUUUCUCACCUGUUGUCAUGAUGGCGGAUCUGAUUGCUGCAGGACUCCAUAAAGGGUAUCUGGAUUUGAGUCGAGCAGCAAUACCGGAGACAUGGGGGCAUGACAUUGAAGUCCCUGAUUCAAUGUUGACGAGUGGUGGUGGCUUUCCUUCUGGUGCAGCAUUUAAGUCACCUACUAAC
rnacentral:lncRNA from 1 species